CCUACCAGCUAUGUUUAAAAGUUGCAGUUGCCCCAAAUCCUCCCCAGCACUUGUUGCUGUCUUUUUCAUUUUAGCAAUUCUCAUGGUGCUGUGAUCUUUUGUGGUUUUAAGUUGCAUUUUCCUGAUGAGUUAGAUUGAUUUUUCUGAAACUUUUAGUUGUGUGAAUAUUCCUUUUUGUGAAGUGUCUGUCCAAGUAUUUUGUCCAAUCUUUGAUUGGGAAGUCUCCCUUUUUGUUCUUGAUUUGCAUUUCGUUAUGCAUUCUGGAUAUGUCAACUCUUGGGAAUAUGUAUUGUGACUAUCUCCCACUUGGUUGGCUUGCUUUUCUUAUUAGUGUCUAUUGUGGAAUAGAAGGUUGUAAUUUUAAUGGGUCCAUAUUAUCAACCCUUUAUUUUGUGAUUCAUUUUUGAUAUCUUAUAUAAGACAUCUUUGCCUACAUCAAAACAUAGAAGCUUUCCCCCACCCCACCCCCCAUGUUUUCUUCUUGGAGCUUUAUUGUUUCAGUAUUAACGUUUAUACCUAAAAUAUUCUGGAACUAAUUAUUGUGUAUGGUGUGAGCUAUGGAUUAACUUUUUUUUUUCCUGCACAUAUAUUUAAUUGACCCCACUGCCCUUUAUUUAUUUGGAGUACUGUCUUUCCCCUCUGCACUGUAAUGUCACCUUUGUUAUCAGUCAAGUGAUUGAUUAUAUGUACAUAUAUAUCUAGACCCUCCAUCUGACAUAGAAUUAAGCCAAUACCACUCUGUCUGGACCACUGUAAUUUUAUAAUAAGUCUUUAAAUUUAAUAGUGUAAGUCUUUCAGCCUUUUUCUUCUUAAAGAUGGUUUGCCUAUUCUUGGCCCUUCCAUUUUAUGUAAAUUUUCAAAUCACCUUGCAGUUGCCACAAAUGCCUUUUGUUUCCUUUUGUUUUGUUUUGAAUUGGGAUUGUAUUAAAUCCAUAAAUCAAACUGGGGAGAAUUGCUUUACAACAUUGAGGCCUCCAAACCAUCAAAAUGAUAUACUAUGAUAAUCUUUAAUUAAGUAUUUUAAUGACUUACUCCUUAAAUUUUGUCAAAAAUGUUUGGUAAUUUCAACCAGAAAGAUAUUACACAUCUUCCCUUAGAUUUAUUCAUGGGUAUUUGAUAUUUUUGAUGUCAUUGUAAAUAGAAACUCAAAAAAUUUUUUUUUCUGUUUGUGUAGAAAUAAAUCACAUAUUGAUUUUUA